CCUUGAACAAUAAUGUCUGCUACCAUUAAAGUAGAGCUGCCUUCCCAAUUUUUAUAACAUUUGUGAUGAGGCAGGCACUUCAACCUCUUUCCUUUGGGAAACUUUGCAGGAAAAAAAUGGCAAAACCAAGAUGUAAAAAAAGAAAGCAAUCAAAUGUUGCAAAAGAGAAGACAGAAAUUAAAUGAAAACCCUAUAUUGUUUGAAGAAAGUAAGAAAAAAAAAGAGCAAGAAACUUUAAAAUCUGUAUCAGAAAAAGAUUUAACAGAAAAAUCGUGAUUAAAUGUACUUAAAUUUUUAGAAAUUGAUAGAGUGCCCAGGGAAAAAAGAAACAAUAGCAAGAAGAAAGGAGAAAAAACAAAAACGUCAUUUGGAUGACAGUAUGUUUAACUUGCAUAAAAUGUUCAUAAAAGAGAACCCUCAACACUCAACUUUCAUGUGGAGUCUGAAUUUUUAUUUCAAUAGUCUUUACAUUUUAAUUUAUUAAUAUUCAGUAAGAGUUACUUAAAAAAUUGUACACUUAGGUAAAAAAUGAAUGUUUCCUUUCAUAGCAGCAUGCUUAAUCGGAAGUAGCUCUAUCUCUAAUAAUGAAAUAUUUUAUUAUUUACUUAUUAAUGUUAAACUCAUAUCAGUAGUACCCAAUAAUUAAUGAAUUAAUCUUCAUUGACAUUUUAUAUUUUAUAACAUAAAAUGUCUCCUCCGUUGACUAUUACCUCUCCUCCGUGGACAGAAUUUAAAAUAUUUUAAAUCUUGUAAAAAAUAAAAUAGAAAACUUGACCAUUAUUAUAAGGACAUAUAACAAAAAUGAAUAAAGGCAUUUAUGUGAUUUUUAUCACUUUUUCAAUUACUUUAAUUUUAGAAAAUUUUUUAGUCUAUUUAUACCUUUUCAGUGAGAAUGACCCUGGUGAUGAAAUUUCGUGGUGAUUAUAAUAAUCACAUUUCUCAUUCUUUCUAUUUCAUCUGGCAAACUGAUUUCAAUAUUUUCAGUGUUGCAUUCCUAAGCAGCGAUUCAUUAUACUUUGAUACCAUUUGUAUUUUUCUCUCGUGAAUAUUAAUUAUGUCCACUAAUGUUCUUUUACUUCCUUUUUUUUAAAGAAUUUUACAAUACAUGCGUAUACUUUCAUAUUCUUCUUCAUUUCCUGAUUUAAAUAAAAAUUUGUUCAUGUUUG